GAUGAACGCUGACAGAAUGCUUAACACAUGCAAGUCAACUUGAAUUUGGGUUUUUAACUUAGGUUUGGGUGGCGGACGGGUGAGUAACGCGUAAAGAACUUGCCUCACAGCUAGGGACAACAUUUGGAAACGAAUGCUAAUACCUAAUAUUAUGAUAAUAGGGCAUCCUAUAAUUAUGAAAGCUAUAAGCGCUGUGAGAGAGCUUUGCGUCCCAUUAGCUAGUUGGAGAGGUAACGGCUCACCAAGGCGAUGAUGGGUAGCCGGCCUGAGAGGGUGAUCGGCCACAAGGGGACUGAGACACGGCCCUUACUCCUACGGGAGGCAGCAGUGGGGAAUAUUGGACAAUGGACCGAGAGUCUGAUCCAGCAAUUCUGUGUGCACGAUGAAGUUUUUCGGAAUGUAAAGUGCUUUCAGUUGGGAAGAAAGAAAUGACGGUACCAACAGAAGAAGUGACGGCUAAAUACGUGCCAGCAGCCGCGGUAAUACGUAUGUCACGAGCGUUAUCCGGAUUUAUUGGGCGUAAAGCGCGUCUAGGUGGUUAUAUAAGUCUGAUGUGAAAAUGCAGGGCUCAACUCUGUAUUGCGUUGGAAACUGUAUAACUAGAGUACUGGAGAGGUAAGCGGAACUACAAGUGUAGAGGUGAAAUUCGUAGAUAUUUGUAGGAAUGCCGAUGGGGAAGCCAGCUUACUGGACAGAUACUGACGCUGAAGCGCGAAAGCGUGGGUAGCAAACAGG
rnacentral:rRNA from 1 species